GAUGAACGCUGGCGGCGUGCCUAAUACAUGCAAGUCGAGCGAACAGACGAGGAGCCUGCUCCUCUGACGUUAGCGGCGGACGGGUGAGUAACACGUGGAUAACCUACCUAUAAGACUGGGAUAACUUCGGGAAACCGGAGCUAAUACCGGAUAAUAUAUUGAACCGCAUGGUUCAAUAGUGAAAGACGGUUUUGCUGUCACUUAUAGAUGGAUCCGCGCCGCAUUAGCUAGUUGGUAAGGUAACGGCUUACCAAGGCAACGAUGCGUAGCCGACCUGAGAGGGUGAUCGGCCACACUGGAACUGAGACACGGUCCAGACUCCUACGGGAGGCAGCAGUAGGGAAUCUUCCGCAAUGGGCGAAAGCCUGACGGAGCAACGCCGCGUGAAUGAUGAAGGUCUUCGGAUCGUAAAACUCUGUUAUUAGGGAAGAACAAAUGUGUAAGUAACUAUGCACGUCUUGACGGUACCUAAUCAGAAAGCCACGGCUAACUACGUG
rnacentral:rRNA from 1 species